UAAAAUUAUUUACUAUUUUACUGUAAAAAGAAAUAAAACAAUUGGUAUAACACCCCAUGUCAAUUUAUCUAGAAUAUCGACAACAGUGUACAUAACUGAAUCGAAAAACAUUAAAUUUUCAUUACAUAAAGAUCAAACACAUGAAUAGGAUUACAAAAUCCAAGAAGUGAACACAAAUUUGAGCCAACAACUAAACUUAAUCAAUCCGAAUCUUAUACAAGAUAUAAGAUAAACGUAACAUCGGCUCCAAAUCGUACUCCACGUAUCUGGGUCUUCAUGCUUGCUGACCACGACAUCGCGAUCAACCUGGUUAUCUGAAA
rnacentral:lncRNA from 1 species